rnacentral:pre_miRNA from 1 species
GAUAUUGUCAUAGUAGCCGUUGAUAUUGCACGCACUUACCCGAGCGCUCAACUGACGUGUAUAUUAUCAACGGCUACUAUGACAAUAUCAUCUGAGGAC